UCCCCGAGACCUGUAAAACCAUGGGUUUAACAAUAAUUAGUCAGACUCAUUUGAUGAAAAAAGAUAGUACAGUUUAUUCACGAGAACGUUCUGAAGUCCAUUAUAUAUACAAAGACAUUCAUUUUAUAGCUGUGCACAUACUUAGACACAAACAGUAGAUAUCCUACGCACAUACAUACAAGUUCAAAUCUUAAACUACGCCUUGCUCAGACAGUCUGUGUUUUUCCAAUUAUACAGAUACAUUGUUUAAUCUGCAACAUGUUUCAUAAUUUUCUGCAAGCCUAACAGUGUCUCCACGGGUGGAGACAGAAUGUCCUGUAAGGAACACAGUAGUCCAGCUUGUCUGUUGAUAGCUCCUCGUAUCAUUUGUUUCACACUUGCUCCCUGCUUACAUACUAAAAAGGAACAAAAUGUCCUUGUUCUAAUUCUGACUAAAACUACACACAUCAUCAGAUUAUAGUUUUAUGGUUCUAAUACAUUUCAUACAAUUAUAUGGUUUCAGGGUGGAAUAUUCUAAUCAUUACCUUUAAGCAUAUAAUUCCCUUAUCAGAUAUAUGUUUAUUUCGACAUUACAAAUAACCUGUAUAGACAAUGGCAACACUGUCAUGCUGCUAGAAGCCUUGCUGUAGGGAAACGGCUAUAGGACACUCCUCCUGACCUGCAAACCGAUAUUUCAUUUCAGAAUUUGUUCAAAUGAGGUUAGGGUCUAAGUCCCAACCUGGCCCUAAUUUGAAAGCUUUUGGAAGCGCGAUCCAAGUGGGAAGAUAAACACACGAGUACAGCCUUUCUUAAAGUAUCUAUCGGUCGCGACGUGUCCGAGUAUAAUGAUUUAAUUCAUUACUGGAACUGAUUUGGCCAGGUUCAACUGCGUUCUCUUUUCAAUGCACUCUCUGUCAAGCAGCCGUGUCUUUGCUCAGUUCCGCAGCUGCGCGAGUGGGAGGGAGAUGCCCGUGUGCUUUCGCGGUUCGUUGGAUCUUUUUUCUGCAGUUUUAUUGAAGAUCACUCCGCGACCCACAUGCUGCAGCUUUGUCAGACACUGACUUGUCAUUCUCACUCGCCAUCAUCAAAUGGAACUUGGUUUCAUACAAACUUUGAGAAAUAUCGAGGGGCGCCCUCAAUGUGUUUUGUGCGGGGAAGUGCUUAGUAUUGAGUCUCUCAAAACGGACAUAUUAAAACGACACGCACUGACCAAACACCCACAGCAUGACGGUAAACCCAGGGAGUUAUUCCAGAACACCUGCAAAGUGGUUAUGAACAACAUCAAUUGCAUCAUUAGAUUGUGAUUCUAAAGACCGGGCAGGUUGGAGUCCUCUUAUCCACCGAGAGAAGUAUGUUCUGUGAAAUACUGUUUCCUCAAUCGGAUACCUCAUUUCUUUAGUUGCUGCAAUUAUGUUCCUAUUUAUAAUUUGAGAAGCCUUUGCUGCCAAACGGGAGAUCACAUCAAUUGAACUGACUUCAACAAACGUAGAGUGGCUGCACGGGAAGGUGCAAGAUGAUAAGACAUAACAUGGACACAAUGCAAUUGCGAUCAAGGAGAAGACAAGGAUUUUAUAGGACAGCUGCAUUUUGAAGUGUGAAUUUAACCUACAUAACAGUCAAUACAAACUGAAAUCGAUUCAAAUGGUACACCAAAGUGUCUUUGAAAUGCGAAGUAUCUGGAUGGUCAGUGGAGGAUGUCUGCCAGUGGCUUCAGCAAAAUCAGCUGGCGGACUACACCUCUCCUUUCCAAAGUUUUACAUGACUCGACACCAUAGCAGCAAUCCUGCUCUUGCCCUACCUUUUCAAUGAGGACCCGAGUGGCCUUUACACUAUAUCCAUGACAAGGCGGAAAUCCAUUUCACCAUAAGAGUGGCCUUUGAUGGGGAGAACAUGCAUUCCAUGGGACUUGGGGACAAUUUUUUCAGUUACAUUUCCCUAAAAUGUCAGAAAAACACUUAUGUUUUAAGUUACUGUGUUCUGGGGAUAAGAGAGUUGGGGUGAAGUUACCAGGCCGGUCAUGGAGAUGGCAAACUUCCUAACAUAACUAAGAAGUUGUUGGGCAAGUGAUUUUUGGACACACACACUAAAGCAAAAAAUGUACAAUCUGUACUUGGUGUCAAGUCCACAAAAAGUUGAAGAAAUCCUGCACUUUUACACUACAGAGUACAUGUAAUAUCUGCAGAAGUAUAAUGUAAUUACUAGGUGUUACACUUUAUUUUAACUAGCUAAAUCAUGUGUAUCUUGAGGGGUACAUAAUUGUUAUUCAAUACUCCAGAAAAUAUGAGGGUAGAGGAAAGUAUGAAUUUCAGCUUUUUCUCUGUGAGAAUCUCUGAGACCAAAGUAGUUACGGAUUUAGUUAAGGUUAGAGUUAAGGGUCAGUUUUAGAUUUCGGUUAGUCAUGUUGCAGGUCAGUAUCCGUAUAGUCUCUCUCUUGCUGUAGGUAAACCGUGCCCCACAAUCGGUUGCGUUAAAGCCUUACUUACACCCGAUGUGUUUAUUGAUCACUCUUUGGAAGUCAUCCUCAAGAGUUUCGUCAGCAACACGUGACCACAUAGGGCCCUGCGAGUUGGCAGGGGUGAGGGGCUGGUUCCGGAUUCACAAUACAAAAACACCCUAAUGAUUGGUUGACAAAUAGUGCCUCCCACUUGCCAGGUGAUGGCUGCAUGAUCAUUUGUCAACUUAUUGUGCCGUGGAAUCUACGUGAAAAAAUAUACUGGAUUUGAAAAAAGUAAUCAACUGUUGUUUUGGGGGUUACAUUUCAGUCACAUGUCCUUCUGUAGCUCAGUUGGUAGAGCAUGGCGCUUGUAACGCCAGGGUAGUGGGUUCGAUCCCCGGGACCACCCAUACGUAGAAUGUAUGCACACAUGACUGUAAGUCGCUUUGGAUAAAAGCGUCUGCUAAAUGGCAUAUAUUAUUAUUAUAUUAUUAUUAUUAUACAUGAUGAUGUCAUCAUGGUAACCAAUUUUCAAUAUAGACACAUUUUGUAUAACAUAUGUUGAAUUUGUAUCUUUGAAACAAUGUCAGACCUCCAAUGUAAUAUCCACAAUAAGAAAAAAAAAUACAAGCUGGGCAGCACCUACUAUAGUUAUUUCUUCAGUCGCCCAUGCAGGGUUUUAACCAAGCUUUGGUAUUUGUCAUUGGCUAUUACCAUUACCAAUGUGCUAUCGUGAGAAUGAUUGUUGAGAAACCUCCACUUAAUAGAUUCACUGUUGCUAUCGAAGUCAUUCCAAAGGGUAGGAUCAACAGAGCAAAUGAAAUGUAACCAUCCUUUAUCAAUCAUGUAUCAUCAAUGAUACUAUUUAGACCUAUAUAGCAUUUGGAAAGUCAUCAAAAGCUAUUGUUUAAAUUCAGCCCAGGAUUCAACUAAAAAUAGACGAUACAUAUAAGCCUAGAGUUUCAAGCUUUGGUUGAUUUCAAAUGGAAUCUACAAGUUAUGUUGGAUUCACAUCUACAUCUCAACCAAAAAUAAAAGUUAAAGAAUAGGAUUAAAUCAAAUCAAACUAAUGAUUUAGUCCUAUUCCUCAACUUAGAUUUUUGGUUGAAAUGGAGACGUGAAUCCAACGUAUAAUUAAAGCCAGACUCAGUGGCACAGAUGUCGCUAUCCAAGCAGAAGAUUCAUCUUCUUCAAAUGUUUAUAUUUGGUUUCGUUGACAACCAAACACAAGUUCAUAACUUUUGAGAUAAUGUAAAUAGCCUAUUAACUUGUCGACAAGUUAAAAAAGUAUAUGUUGGAUACAAGUCUCCAUCUCAACCAAAAAUAAAAGUUAAAGAUUAGGAAUAAGCCAAUGCCUCAAAUGGAACUCUCCUUUAAAUGUUGAUUUGUUUUGUCAACCAAACACAAUUCAAUAUGACUUUUGUAAGACAGUAAAUAGCCUAAUGUUAAGGCUUUCUUACAAACAAAUAAAGCUUUUUUUAUUCAAACUUAAAAUAAGGAACCCAUCCAUGGACACAUUGAGGUUACUGUAACAAUACAUGUAUUUUAUUUAAAUCAUAGAAAGCGUGCAUGUUCAGGGUCGCAGGUCUGUGGAAAUCUUCACAAUUGCUAUAAUAAUCUGCACAGAAUCUCAAACGGCAUUGAUCACUAACACCAUGUACUUUAAUGUCAUCUCAACUAAUUGCAAUCCAGGUCAUUUGGUUGUGCUAUUUGAUCAAGAACAGUGAUUAAACAGUCAGUUGUACUUAAACAUUUUCGACAUUGACU